UCUUUUUUUCUGGAGUCCAGUAUAGGGGCAUGGUCCAAGGAGCCGCACCUGGCAUGGUUGCCUCUGUGAGAACAGGACCAUGAUGGGACUAGGAAGUCCUUGGUUCUGCAAAGUCUGUAAAUCUUUCUGAGCCAGAGCACUGAAGCUCUGUGAACUUCAGGGGAGUCAGGGGCUUCUGGGAAGAAGCAUGUCAAAAAGGCAACAGAGACUCAUUUACCCUGGAGACAGAGACGCUGAGGGGACUUUGGGGAGAGUGAACCAACCCCACCAGAGGGCCUGUUCGGUCCCCUCCCUGUCAUCAAAGGCACUCCUCUGCAAGAGGGAAUGAAGUUAUCAAACACCAUACUUGGAGAUCUAUUCAUCACGGAAAAAGAAGCGCAAAGAUUGUCAAUAGAACAGUCCCAAAGGGCCAUCCAUUUGACUCAUUUAUUAUUUUCCUUUGCUAGUCACCCAGAUUAUUCAAUGUCCCACAAAUUGAAAGUUUGGAGUUCUAUUGACUCUCACUUUGGUUCACUAACUAUGGAAAAGUUGUCUUGCCUCAUUUGACCCCUGGAUAAAAUCCUUUACAUCCAGAGAGCACUUUCCAGCCCUCCCAGCAUCUCUGAAACGAACCCUUAGCAAAGUAACCUGAAUUAAGCCUG